AGUAAAGUCAGCUAAAUAUGCAAGCUCUCGGGCCCAUACCCCGAACAUGUUGGUGAAAUUCCUUCCUUUGCUA
rnacentral:tRNA from 2 species